CUGAGUGACGCCUCUGUAGAGGGCCCUCUGUGUAGGGCCAGCGCAUGUGUCCUUCCUGACAGGGCGACGGCUCUGUCCUCCCAUGUGACUCGUCCCUGGCACAACACCGGGAGCUGCUGUUGCCUACAGAGUACCGCCCCAGCCUGGCAUGGGGCAGACAGGACCGCUGGCGUCCCAUCCGGGCAAAGCAAGGCUGGGGGGGCGGUCAGGCCUCCAAGGGGAGCACAGGGUGAGCGCACAGUCACGUGGACAGACAGCAGUGCAAGGGAGGGGCCGUGGAUGGACCGCAUGAUCUUUCCAACAUCUCUGGCCAGCAUAAUAUAUUCCGUCCCAGAAAUCCAUCUGCAAGAAGGAAGUGGUUCAUUUUGUUACCUUAUUAGCGGAACCUCGGGGGACACACGCAAGUCUGUGAUCCUGAGGAGGUCACAGUACUAGGGAUCGGAGCAGCCCGAAGCCCGGCUGAGCAGCAAGAGCAGAGCUGGGCACACGGUGAGUCCUGCCCCCCUUCACAUUCAGCCUCAAAGCCUCAGAAACCACACACCAGAGAACAGUGAUGUUCACAAGGAUUACAAAGAAAGAAAUGCCAAGGUUUAUAUGGAUAUACUCAUUGUUUCAUCUGCCUAAAGAAAAAGCUACAGCAAAUACACCCGUUAAAAACAAUUUAAA